rnacentral:sRNA from 2 species
GAUGAUAGAAAGUUUUGGCUCAUGAACUGACCUAGGAAAACCGAAGGCCACAAUAAUUCUUGCGAAUUAUUGUUUCCUGGCCUUUUGGCCCAUGAAUCCUGUAAUGCAACUCAUGGAGCCAAUAUUGGUCUGUACAAUACCAGAUGACAGUAUGGCUACUUAACCACCCUGUCGCAGAAUCUGAAUUUGAAAAUUUGGGCAUCAGCCAGAGAUUGUCUCCGUUGUGCCAAACCAACCUAACCACUUCACCAAGAGGUGAUGACCAAAUGGUAUUUACAUAUUUCAGGCAGAGCCUUUGAGUUAUCAGCGUCAACGCCCCAGACGAGCUCGACUUUCUUUCCAUCUCAUACCUACCAUACCAGAAUCAAUCUCAAGAAGCAACAACACCUUGCAAACCAUGUUCUGCCAGUGGGUAAAGUUUAGGCCAUCUUCAUUCACUUUUUAAAAAUGCUGCUGUAUCUUUUGUCCCAAUUAACAUAGCACUCCUUGAUAGGAUGAAGCAAUCAACAGCCAACGAUGUCGUACCUGAAUGUACAGCAUUAUAACACCAUUCCCACUAUGUAUUAUGAACACUGCCAAACCGUGCAAAACUAUGCCAAGUCGUCCUAUUGCGCUUUCAAUCACACAGCCUGCAAAUGAAAACAUCAUGGUGAAAUGACAGUACACAACAAAAAGAGGCACAUUCGCGAUUUUGAAGACCCUU